rnacentral:rRNA from 1 species
CGCCCUUGAGUUUGAUCAUGGCUCAGAGUGAACGCUGGCGGUAGGCCUAACACACUGCAAGUCGAACGGCAGCACAGUAAGAGCUUGCUCUUAUGCGUGGCGAGUGGCGGACGGGUGAGGAAUACAUCGGAAUCUACUCUGUCGUGGGGGAUAACGUAGGGAAACUUACGCUAAUACCGCAUACGACCUACGGGUGAAAGCAGGGGAUCUUCGGACCUUGCGCGAUUGAAUGAGCCGAUGUCGGAUUAGCUAGUUGGCGGGGUAAAGGCCCACCAAGGCGACGAUCCGUAGCUGGUCUGAGAGGAUGAUCAGCCACACUGGAACUGAGACACGGUCCAGACUCCUACGGGAGGCAGCAGUGGGGAAUAUUGGACAAUGGGCGCAAGCCUGAUUUUUUUUUUUUGCGUGGGUGAAGAAGGCCUUCGGGUUGUUAAGCCCUUUUGUUGGGAAAGAAAUCCAGCUGGCUAAUACCCGGUUGGGAUGACGGUACCCAAAGAAUAAGUACCGGCUAACUUCGUGCCAGCAGCCGCGGUAC